UACUAGAGUAGCACUCGCAUAUCAAUAAGCGGAGGAAAAGAAACUAACGAGGAUUCCCCUAGUAACGGCGAGUGAAGCGGGAAGAGCUCAAAUUUGAAAUCUUAAAGGGUUUCCCUUUACGAAUUGUAGUUUAAAGAAGUGUUUUCUGUUGAGGUUUUGGUAAAAGUUCUUUGGAAUAGGACAUCAUAGAGGGUGAGGAUCCCGUAUUUGACCUUUACAUUCAACUUUGUGAUACACUUUCAAGGAGUCGGAUUGUUUGGGAAUGCAGUCCAAAAUGGGUGGUAAAUUUCAUCUAAAGCUAAAUAUUGGCGAGGAGACCGAUAGCGAACAAGUACCGUGAGGGAAAGAUGAAAAGAACUUUGAAAAGAGAGUUAAACAGUACGUGAAAUUGUCAAAAGGGAAGCGUUUGACACCAGUGUUGUUUUUCUGAAAAUCAAUUAAAGAACUGUUUAUGCUAAGCUGUUUAGACUUUAUCAGCUAUCUGUUUAGUUUUGAGCUUUUCUUUAAUGCACUUUUCAGUUAACAAGUCAACAUCAACUUCUUUUGCUGUAAAAAAGCUUGAGGAAGGUGGCUUGAGAUUCGUCUUAAGUGUUUAUAGCCUCUUGCCUAUGCAGUCGGAGAGAUUGAGGUCUGCAGCGUAGAUCCUUCGGGGCUAAAUGCAUUUGUGCUAAGUUAUAGCAUUUUAUAGACAACUUGUUGACUAUGAUUUGUCUUGUAGCUUACUCGCUUAUGUUAUUUUACCUACGCUUAGGAUGUUGAUCUCUCACAGUCGAGC
rnacentral:rRNA from 1 species